CGCCUGUUUAACAAAAACAUCGCCUCUUGCAAAAGCAACAAAUAAGAGGUCCUGCCUGCCCCGUGACUAUAUGUUCAACGGCCGCGGUAUUUUGACCGUGCAAAGGUAGCGUAAUCACUUGUCUCUUAAAUGGAGACCUGUAUGAAUGGCAAGACGAGGGCUCAACUGUCUCCCCUUUCUGGUCAAUGAAAUUGAUCUCCCCGUGCAGAAGCGGGGAUCCCCACAUAAGACGAGAAGACCCUGUGGAGCUUUAGACACUAAGAUAGAUCAUGUCCCUCCCCCAAGUAUAAAUGACAAAACUUAAUGACCCCCCUAUCCUACUGUCUUCGGUUGGGGCGACCGCGGAGAAACAAAUAUCCUCCAUGCGGAAUAAGAGCACUACUCUUACAAACAAGAUCUCCCACUCUAACGUAACAGAAUUUCUGACCUUAUGAUCCGGCAAUGCCGAUUAACGAACCAAGUUACCCCAGGGAUAACAGCGCAAUCCUCUCUUAGAGACCAUAUCGACGAGUGGGUUUACGACCUCGAUGUUGGAUCAGGACAUCCUAAUGGCGCAGCCGCUAUUAAGGGUUCGUUUGUUCAACGAUUAAAGUCCUACGUGAUCUGAGUUCAAAACCGG
rnacentral:rRNA from 1 species